AAUUACUCAAUCAAGUUGAGUUAAUUAGUGAUUAAAUCACUAAUUAAAUCUCUCAUAAAUACUGAGUCCAAAUCCGAUGGGCAAUCGGGUAUCAAAGUCCAUCGAUAUGAAACCUUGAUCGAAGAGUCCCAAACCAGUGGGACUCUUGACCCCGGUACCCAAAAUGUGUGGAACUCAUGAUCAAAGAAUCCUGAUUCUCGAUCA
rnacentral:lncRNA from 1 species